rnacentral:rRNA from 1 species
UCUGACACAGGUGCUGCAUGGCUGUCGUCAGCUCGUGUCGUGAGAUGUUGGGUUAAGUCCGUAACGAGCGCAACCCUUGUCCUUAGUUACCAGCACGUUAUGGUGGGCGACUCUAAGGAGACUGCCGGUGACAAACCGGAGGAAGGUGGGGAGUGACGUCAAGUCAUCAUGGCCCUUACGGCCUGGGCUACACACGUGCUACAAUGGUCGGUACAAAGGGUUGCCAAGCCGCGAGGUGGAGCUAAUCCCAUAAAACCGAAUCGUAGUCCGGAUCGCAGUCUGCAACUCGACUGCGUGAAGUCGGAGUCGCUAGUAAUCGUGAAUCAGAAUGUCACGGUGAAUACGUUCCCGGGCCUU